AACCUGAUGUAGAAGAAUUUUUGGAGCCCUGAACUUUGAUAGGUCCCAUGCAGGUGCCAGAUGCCAGAGCAGACCAGUCUGGACAGACAUAGCUUGAAAAUUGGAGAAGAAAGAAUAAAAAAAAAUCCACUGAGGAAGGCAAUAAACCUCCACGAACCUGAACGUGAAGAGGCUACAGAAGAACCCUCUGAGGAUCCAUAAUAUAUUUUCAACAAUUCAAUGUUAGUGGAAAUCAAGGGCCAUGGAGGUCACGUGACUGGGCAGUCCAUAGGAAGUAGUAAUUCCUGCCUGGGGAAUUAAGGCCAUUGGUGUUAAAAAGCAGAAGAAACCUUUGGUUGGAAAAAGAGCCUGUAGCUACCAAGAAUCCAUCUCCUGGGAAGAAGCCUGCAGAAAAGAAACCCACCACAGAAAGAAAGCAGCCUGCUGCAUAAACUUACAUCUGUUUAUUCCACAAUGUCAAAUCAUUUCAAACAGUUAAUUUUGAAUAAACACCUGAUCAAAGGAGAGUGGUCUCACUGAAUACCAUGCCAACUGCUCCUACGAAGGCGAUUCGCAGUAACUUCCUUGAUAAUUGCGACAGCAAGUGACACAUGGAAAUGCAGAACUGUCAAUCUUGUGAUUAAUGAUCCAAAGUGUCAGACAUCAUAAAGGGACUCA